rnacentral:snoRNA from 1 species
UAUUUUUCCGUUACUCCAGCACCUCAAGCAAUAAUGCGUUGCUAAAUAAACUGCCCUCCUAGGCGUUACGAUUGCAGCCUGAUUCCAAGGUGCCAUCGUUUGCAGUGGAGGGCCACAGCU